GGAGAAUACACAUAAAAUUGAGAGAGAAAAUCCAUAACCCAAUAAAAAAAAUAUGGAUGAUGUGAUUUCAAGGAGAAAAGGAAAUAUGUGAGAUGAUGGGAAUCCCUUUGUUUGGUCUACCAUCCACAGGCUGAGGAGGAUGUGAGAGGACAUCCUUUUAACAAGACAGGUAUGCUUCUUUUUUUCAUUAAAUGUAAUGCAUUGUUUCCUCCAUAAGUGUGGGUUAUUGCAUUGUUGUUGUGGGAGGGUUGUUUCUGUUGUUGUGCUUGAUCCAAUAGUUUUAAAGGAGAGAGGAGAUAAUCAACCUUCACAGACAGAAUGAUUGUACUAUAUACAUAAGAGAGAAUGGAAAAGAGCCUUGUUUCACAAUUAUUUUAAAAGUCGCUGUAUGGAGAUAUCGAUUCAUUACAGUUAGAUCUUCAGCAAUUUUCAGGUGAGCAAUGUGUCUUCUUUUCUUGAGUUUCAGAGUCUCCUAAGGAGUUUGGGAACAGCCGUUGAUAU